UCCAGCUGCCUUUGAAUGCUCUCCCUCUCUCAAACUCUCUCGAAGGUUCCUCAAAACCCUAGCAUCUCUCAUCCUCUCCGACCAUGAUCUCGCCAGAAUCCAUGGCUUCUCAGACCAUGGAUGGCCUGUACGAGUACCCCAUCCACCAUUAAACCCUGGUUGUUCGAAGCUUCAAGGUCUGACCUCGAUGGUGUUCUUUCAAAUAUUCUUGGAUUCAUGGCUUCAAGGCCUUUCCAGCUCUACUCCGGCAUAUCCAAGCAUCAGGAGCCUAUUCCUAACCUCGCCGACUCAAGAUCAGACUUUCUUCCAAGCCGUUCUCAUUUCUAGGGUUUCUAUGAAACCCUAAGCUAUUAGAGGUUUUUCUAUGGUUGUUUUCUUAAAUCUAUGCUAUAUCUCUGUUAUGCUGAAGCUUUAAAACGUUUUCCAAAAUCUUUUCUUUCAAAAUUUAUUUCUUUUCGAUUUAGGGUUUCUAAAAAAUUUCAAAAUGUUUCUCUGACUCUUCCUCUUCUUUUCUUUAUGUGUAUCUAUCUAUACUGUGUUUUAUAUUCUCUUUUCUGCCUCACAUGUCCCUCUCUUGUGUUUUUAUGUUUGCCUUAUUAUGCUUCUUUUUCUAUUAUGCUCCGCUCUUCCUUCUACUGGUUUCUAUAUCAUGCUUUCACGCAUUUGUCUUAUGUGUUCGUUUGCCCUCAUAUUUCUUUACUGUAUUUGCUACUAAGCUCUUAGUUCCUCAUUUUGCCUUCUUCUGGACUUUGUUUGAAGUUCUUUCUAGACAUGUUCCAUUUACUGUUUCCUUAAGUUUAUACUACCUCUUUGUCCUCUGAACUUGUUUAAGUUCCAAGCUUUUCUUAAAACAUGUUCUUUAUGCUUCAAAUUAGCAACACUAUGUUUGUUUCGAACCUGCUAUUUUACCUCUUUGUUUUCUCAUGAGUCUCUGAAAGUGACCUAUGAGCCUGUUUCAGUUAUUUGUCUUCUUGUCUUUGCAUCUGACUCUAGUUGAAAACCCUAGGAUUUGGGAUUUUUUGGCGAGUUUGGUCUUAUGUUUGGAUUAGGGUUCUAUUAUGGGACCCUGGAUUCUCUCAAACAAAGUCUGAGCCUAUGUAGUGAAUCUGAGCCCCUUUGUUUAUGACUUUGAACUUUUCUAUGCUAGAUUUUUUCUAAUUAGCUUGACUGUUCUUGCUUGUUUGACAUGUUUGUAUGCUUUAUAUAUGAGGAAUUCUUCCAUUAAAAAGGGUUUUGCCAAUUUGUGAUUGAUUCAGAAUUCCUUUUAAUAAGGUUUGAUUGAUUGUUACUGAUUUUCUUUAAUUAAACCUUUCCUCACCUUUUCUGGUUAGAUAGAUUCAUACCAAAAACUCAAUUUCUGAUUUUUACUGGAUGUUGAUUGAUUCCCUUUCCUUAUUUGCACAAACUGUGUUGCUAUCAAACUCUUUCCUUAAACAGUUUUUGUGUAUUUGCCCUUCUUGUACUACUUUGAAAGAUUUUGAUCAAAUUCUUUCCUUAUUUAUUCUACCCGCUUGAAAUCAGAAUCCCUUAAUCAUAGGGAGGCCUUAUGUAAUUGAUUUCAAAACUCUUUUCUUACCUUUUCCUUACUUGCUUUCUGUGCUAUAAAGGGCACGACCUUUCAGCACUUUAAGACAUCUGGAGUCCACUACUCUAACACUUAUUGAGCACUUUCAAUUUCAAUAUUCUUGCACCCUCACUCUCUUCUAAAAUCUUC
rnacentral:lncRNA from 1 species